GUGACGUGUUCCCAGGAUUGUCACCCAACCUUUGGUCCGAGCCUAUAUGGAAGCAGUUCCAGGAAACAUACAUUCCGAGGACAUGGGGUUCCUAGCACUGGUCAGGGAUUCCAGGAAUUUCAGUUCCUGGGGAGGCAGAGGCUGUGCACCACCAUGUCUGGUUUAUUGGUCUGUUUGGGUUGUUCGGUUGUUUAGAAGGAUGUCUCUUCAACUCAUGAUUCUUAACCUUUCAAGUACUGGUACUAUCUAGGUUUUUGCCACUGUUGGAAAAGAAGAUUCUCAUUGUUGCACAAAGAAACACAAGAAAGUAACCUGACAAGAUGGUCUUAGGCGACCCUGUGAAAUGGUCAAUUGAACCCCAAAGGGGUCAUGAACGCACUGUUCUAGAUUCAAUGAGAGAUGCUAUCUCAACAAAUAGAAUGCGACAGUAGAAACCUGAAGUCCACACCUGGCCUCCACAUGAACAUGCACAGAAAAUAAUCAUUCCAGUCGACAGGUCAGAGCCAGAGGACCAUCACCGCCUACCCAACAUCCUGGGACUACC